UUCCUUCCUCUCGCCGCACAGGGCCGCUCUCCCCGGGCAGCUCGGGCAGGGCCGGGGGAGGCCCCCUCCUGCGCCCCUCCCUGCCCCAGCCCGCAGGUGGGAGACCCGGCUGCCGUCUAGAGCUCGGCUGGGGCGCGCCACCCGCGCCCAGGUCCCUGCUCCCCGUCCCUGCGCUCCUGCAGGAGUCCCCUGCUGCACCUCAAAGGCCCUUCCCUCCAGCGGGGGCUCUGCCCUUCCUCCCCCGCCCACACGUGUCCUCGCUGGGGAGGCCGGCGACGCCGGGUGAUGCCCGCGCUUGGUGGAUGCGCCAAGGGCAACCGAGCUCUCUUGUCCUCAGCCCGGGUGGGAGAGCUCUGCCUGCGCCAUCCAGAAAAGUGCCUGCAGAGAAGGGGCCUUUUUCUGUUUCUGCAAGUUGUCCUUUGGCCUCUUCAGGAACCUCUAACCACAAGGCCGCUGGCACUACUGCUGUCCAGAAUCCAGCUUCGCCCAGCGGAACUGCUGCGGUAGUGGGAACGUGCUAUAUCCGAGCUGCCUAGUGCAGUGCCCGCUAGCUACAUGUGACUGUCCAGCACCGGGAAUGUGGCCACUGUGACACUUGAUUCUAGUGUUAAAAGCUCUAUGUGGCUAUCAUAUUGGACGGCUCAGGGAGGUGAUGGAGAAACCUGCCUAUUCCAGACCAUGGAGCCCCAGGAUGUCAAGCUGGAAAGGACACUCACUGACCCCAACUCUGUCUUUUCUGCAGUGAGGAAAUAAAGCCAGGCUGACAAGAGAGCUUACAGAAUAAGGGCAGGGGUGAACCACUACCGUGAAGAGGGACAGCGUCUGUGGCUUCAGGGCGGUGCUGCGUCUCAUUCCCCAGCGUAUACACUCCAUGCCAUAGUAGGUGGAGCAAGAGUGGGAGAAGACUUCAGCCUGUCCCAUCACACUAUCACAGCAUGAGCCCUGGUCCUGCAGGGACUAGAGGGAGCAUGGAUCUGGCUGUGUGUGUAAACAACCAACUCCAGCUGAGCGGGGAUCAGUGGCAUCAUCCGUGUAUGUAGGAACCUGUGUGUGCAGGAACCAGUCUUGCUGAUGCUCACGUAGUGGAAAUUCCCUUGGUAAUACUGGGGGUCGCUGCCUCCCAAGACGACCUCUCCUCCGAGCAAGUGAGAAUUCCUAAAGGGAAGAUCAGAGCUCCUGAAGACCCAUAACCUCUAACUUCAAGACCUAGCAACAAAGGAAGCUGGGCCAGGGUACAGGGGAGACGGGAAGGAUGGCAAGACUGGGAAGCGGCAAGAACACCACUUGUCCACCUUUCUUGCCCCUCCCCAAGACAGACCAGAGGAGGUUCAGCUGCACCCAAUAAAGCAUCCCCACAGAGAAGGAACCGGCACAAGCAGAGAGCAAGAUGAGAGUUGGCCCCGCCCUCGCUUGGGUUUGGGGAGCUGCAGGUUGAGCAGAUCCGUAGCGGAUGGUGAAUGUCGUCCCGUUCUCCAUGUAGCUGGAGGAUUCCGAGGAGUCAUAGAGGCAGUGAAUCUCUGGCAGAGGGACAUAGGCUCAGGACUGUGUUCCUUGGGCUCCUGUCAUGUGCCCAUAUCUGUGAGAACGGUCUCGAAUGAAGCAUGUCACAGAAGUUUCGAAUGCAGGGAUGAGGAAAAGAUUCUGGUCCCAGCAAGCACUCAGCAAGAGGUUACUGGCUGAGGAAAGGGGUAGAAGACGCCCAGGGCCUGUGGUUUCGGCGGGGCCUGGGUGGAAGGCUUAGCACCGCCUUAGUCUUAUGACUUCUCAGGAAGUGAGACAAGAGGGCAAAAUAAAUCUGCUGAAAAUGAAGCAGGAAGGCGCCCCACCUCUCGAGGGGCUGCUGAGGCCAUCAGCAGUCCUGCUGUGCGGAGCCCGGUCACAGAAGCCAGCCCCUGCGGUCACGUUCCGGUCCUGCCCACCAGGUCACCUGCACUCGAGGCCCAGAGCCUAGAUUCUGGGGUUCCCAGCCUAACUCUGCCUCUGGGCUCCAUUCUGCCCUCCAUGCCUCAGCCUUCCUAGCGCUGCAAUGGGCAUGUCACGGGCUGCCAGAUACCUCAGCAACCCCGUCAGAGACCGCGCGGAAAGAGCCAAGAAAGCCCUGGGCCCAGAGAGCAAGGAGAUGGAGCAGCAAGGCCCCAGCCGGGCACUCACAUCCAGGUAGUUGGUGAGGACCACAGGGGAGGUGCUGUUGCCAGAGGAGAGUCUCUUGGUGAACUGGUUCCACUCAGCCCCAAGCCCGGCCACAUCCACGCCUCGCUCCUUCAGGCUUUCCCGGAUGGAGGGCAUUUUCUUGAGGAAGAUCCUGGCCCAGGGCGGAGGAGGGAAAACCCAGAAGAGCUCUGUACUCCCCCACAAUAAUGGUGGAGGCCCCGAAGCUUCUAGUACGACUCUCUCUGCCCUCGCCCAGACACCUACAAAUUGCUCCUUGUGCUUUCGGGCCUCUCAGAGAGAAUUUGCAAGUCCCCUUGAUUAAAUAAUCCUCAACACUGUCUGAUUCUGACCACGAGCUCUACAAAGCCAUUUGCUCUCUCAUUCCUCGUUCCAUAGCUACACGUUGAGCCCUGCUCCAGGCCUGCCCUGCACGAGGUACUAGAGACGGACGGAUCAGGACUCCCGCUGCCUUCAAGGAGCGCCAGCAGGCCAGGAGCCUGAGGAGGAAGAGGAGAAAGCUACGAUGGUCAUCGAUGGCCGAUGGCCGAUGGCCGAUGACCGCCCCGAGAGAGACGGUGGCUGGCCUGCUCCCCUCAAGGGGGCCGAGGAGCCAGUGCUGUGGGCGGCCUAUGCUGGUCUACCUCUACUGUCCUUUCCUGCUCACACCCGGCACUCCCGGACCCCCUCAUGCCCACGGGCCAAAAUGCAGCUUUCCUGCCAGCCAGCGCCACAUCUUAAUGGAAAUGACUUGUCACAGUCAUGUCACCAUUUACUGUUCACAAAGCAGUUUCACGGUUAUGAUCUUAUUCUCAGCCAUCCCACAGGGUGGGUGAUUCUUCCCAUUUUACAGAUGGGAAAAAUGGAGGAACAGAGAAGGCCUGAUCCCAAGGAGGGUGCAUUUUCUACCAUCUACCCUGAACAGCCUCUGCUCUGGACCUUUACUUUUCCCAUUCUCCUUUCAGAAAGUUCCUUCCCCUCCACUCCCCACCUUUGCUUGGGCUCCUGCUUCAUUUUUCCUGGGGCACUCACAGCCAGCGCUGCACAGCCUAACGUUCGUGGCGGCGGUGUUGUCUGGUGGUGAGGAUACAGUAGUUGUGAGCGGAUGCUGAAACCCCUAUUACUGUGUGAUUCUGAUCAGCUUACCGAACCCCUCUGGGCCUUUUGUGAGCCCCCACCCCCAUUAACUCCUCUAUAAAAAGGGAUGAAACAUGGGCACCUGGGGGGCUCAGUGGUUGAGCAUCUGCCUUCAGCUCAGGGCAUGACCCCGGGGUCCUGGAUCGAGUCCUACAUUGGGCUCCCCGCAGGGAGCCUGCUUCUCCCUCUGCCUGUGUCUCUGCCUCUUUCAUGAAUAAAUAAA